CACAAAACGUCUCCUAUCCAGGCAAGACAGCAAACUGAUGGAUUUGGCAUCCAAAGUGUUGGUUCUGCUUUCCUGAGUUGCCCUCACGUACAAAUUGAGCCGACACGUUUCUAUUCAUAGGCUCUUUCCUUACUAGUCCCAGAGGUCUCUCAGACCGUGCCUGGACUCAGGUUUAAUGUUGCUGAACCUUGGAUCACUCCAUGAGCGAUACGCAUGACUAAAGAGGCGUCCAUUCCGGCUCACUCCGAAGUUUUCCCUGCUG